UCUUUACAUAAAAGCCAUUAUUGCCAAAGGCAUUGGAUAUCAGAACAGAGAAUGGUGACAUUCCACAGAUAUGUAGCAGCAGUUGACUUGACUGAUUUCCAAUCUUGGCUCUUAUGAAGAAAUCCAGAACACAGAUAAGCACAACCACCAAAUACAUUGCAGCUAUAUUUAGCACCCUACAGACCUUCCCAAUUGAAGCUGAAGGAAGCGAUUGUGCCUGACUCUUUUGUCCCCAAUGUAUUUGGUUUCUGAUGUAAAAAGGCCAGCAAGAAUCUCUGGAAUUAAGCUUCUGCCUCUUGAAUAGAAUGGAAAUUCUUGGCUAUGUGUGACUUCAUGAGAAAAUGCCAUGCUUCCAUCACUUCCACCAUGGGAGCUUCCAAAAAUAUGGGAAAUCAAUUAUGUGCAUUUGGUUGUUUCAUAAAGGAUCUUCUAAAGUU